CCUACGGGUCGCACCAGUAGGGAAUCUUCGGCAAUGGACGAAAGUCUGACCGAGCAACGCCGCGUGAGUGAAGAAGGUUUUCGGAUCGUAAAACUCUGUUGUUAGGGAAGAACAAGUAGGAGAGUAACUGCUCUUACCUUGACGGUAUCUAACCAGAAAGCCACGGCUAACUACGUGCCAGCAGCCGCGGUAAUACGUAGGUGGCAAGCGUUGUCCGGAUUUAUUGGGCGUAAAGCGAGCGCAGGCGGUCUUUUAAGUCUGAUGUGAAAGCCCUCGGCUCAACCGAGGAAGGUCAUUGGAAACUGGAGGACUUGAGUGCAGAAGAGGAGAGUGGAAUUCCAUGUGUAGCGGUGAAAUGCGUAGAUAUAUGGAGGAACACCGGUGGCGAAAGCGGCUCUCUGGACUGUGACUGACACUGAGGCUCGAAAGCGUGGGUAGCAAACAGGAUUAGAUACCCGAGUAGUC
rnacentral:rRNA from 1 species